rnacentral:rRNA from 1 species
AAACGGCCCACCAAGGCGACGAUGCGUAGCCGACCUGAGAGGGWGAACGGCCACACUGGGACUGAGACACGGCCCAGACUCCUACGGGAGGCAGCAGUAGGGAAUCUUCCGCAAUGGGCGAAAGCCUGACGGAGCAACGCCGCGUGAGUGAUGAAGGAUUUCGGAUCGUAAAGCUCUGUUGCCAAGGAAGAACGUCUCAUAGAGUAACUGCUAUGAGAGUGACGGUACUUGAGAAGAAAGCCCCGGCUAACUACGUGCCAGCAGCCGCGGUAAUACGUAGGGGGCAAGCGUUGUCCGGAAUUAUUGGGCGUAAAGCGCGCGCAGGCGGUUCUUUAAGUCUGGUGUUUAAACCUGGGGCUCAACUUCAGGUCGCACUGGAAACUGGGGAACUUGAGUGCAGAAGAGGAGAGUGGAAUUCCACGUGUAGCGGUGAAAUGCGUAGAUAUGUGGAGGAACACCAGUGGCGAAGGCGACUCUCUGGGCUGUAACUGACGCUGAGGCGCGAAA